rnacentral:lncRNA from 1 species
AUGCAUGUAAAAGCAAAAUCAAAUGUAUACCAGAUAUGUUCACACAUUUGUUGUUUUGAUGUAUUGGGUAAAACACUUACUAAGGUGAUAUGAUAGAUGUGGGUGGUAUAGAAAUUCUAAAAUGUUUGUAAAUAACAGUAGAUUAGACUAUACGUUUGUACAACACAUAUGGUGUUCAUUUUACAUUUUGUAUGUAUUUUUAAUAAGGCCACAACCUUAAAGCUUAUGUUUAAACAUUUAAAAGUGAUGCUAAAUUCCCAUCGAGAACUUCCUGUACAAUAUCUUAAGAAAAUCUCAUUUAAAAUCCUUUAUUCUUUUUUUCAGAAUUGGUGUAAGCUGGUAUGUGCUGUAGACGUGCUUAGAAGAUUUUGGAUUAGUUCGUGUUUAAUAUACAUUUAAGACAAUCUGAAAUAAAUAUUUACAUACACCAGAAUUCACUUUAUUCGUCCUUCAAAGACAUGUAUAUACAUAAUGUUACAUUGUAAAUGUAAAUUUGAUCCAUAAUUUGUUUCUAUUUUGUAUCAAAUUGUUAGCAUUAAACCCUGACCGAAUAAUAUGAAAUAUCAACGAAUAUUUUUUUACAACUGUCGCACCUCAAUACAAUAAUUACUUGGAAUUUAAUGAAGACUGCAACAUGUUUCUUUAUGACUGUGGUUUGUUCGUUCAAUUACAUACCUGCAUAUGAUUUUUCUUAUUAUGUUUGAGUGUACCAAAGUAACUCUGUGCUAAUUUGUUUUUCUUUCUUAUGUAUA